AGUUAGACGGCGGACGGGUGAAGUAACACGUGGGCNACCUACCUAUAAGACUGGGAUAACUUCGGGAAACCGGAGCUAAUACCGGAUGACAUAAAGGAACUCCUGUUCCUUUAUUGAAAGAUGGCUUACGGCUAUCACUUAUAGAUGGGCCCGCGGCGCAUUAGCUAGUUGGUGAGGUAACGGCUCACCAAGGCGACGAUGCGUAGCCGACCUGAGAGGGUGAUCGGCCACACUGGGACUGAGACACGGCCCAGACUCCUACGGGAGGCAGCAGUAGGGAAUCUUCCGCAAUGGACGAAAGUCUGACGGAGCAACGCCGCGUGAACGAUGAAGGCCUUCGGGUCGUAAAGUUCUGUUGUUAGGGAAGAACAAGUGCUAGUUAAAUAAGCUGGCACCUUGACGGUACCUAACCAGAAAGCCACGGCUAACUACGUGCCAAGCAGCCGCGGUAAUACGUAGGUGGCAAGCGUUGUCCGGAAUNAUNNGGGCGUAACGCGCGCGCAGGCGGUUUCUUAAGUCUGAUGUGAAAGCCCCGGCUCAACCGGGGAGGGUCAUUGGAAACUGGGAAACUUGAGUGC
rnacentral:rRNA from 1 species